rnacentral:rRNA from 1 species
GGCUCAGGACGAACGCUGGCGGCGUGCCUAAUACAUGCAAGUCGAACGGUCUUUCUAUGGAAGCUUGCUUCCACUGAGAAGAUAGUGGCGAACGGGUGAGUAACACGUGGGUAACCUGCCCAUAAGAGGGGGAUAACAUCCGGAAACGGGUGCUAAUACCGCAUAGUUUUCUUGAUCGCAUGAUUGAGAAAGGAAAGACGGCCUUUGUGCUGUCGCUUAUGGAUGGACCCGCGGCGUAUUAGUUAGUUGGUGAGGUAACGGCUCACCAAGACGAUGAUACGUAGCCGACCUGAGAGGGUGAUCGGCCACAUUGGGAUUGAGACACGGCCCAAACUCCUACGGGAGGCAGCAGUAGGGAAUCUUCCGCAAUGGACGAAAGUCUGACGGAGCAACGCCGCGUGAGUGAAGAAAGGUUUUCGGAUCGUAAAACUCUGUUGUCAGAGAAGAACAAGUUGGAGAGUAACUGCUCCAGCCUUGACGGUAUCUGACCAGAAAGCCACGGCUAACUACGUGCCAGCAGCCGC